rnacentral:rRNA from 1 species
AUGGCCGGAGCCGUCCCCGACCCGCGAGGAUAUGCUCUAGAGCUUCGUCGGCCUCGUCUGCAUCUCCUACAACCUCCGGUUCGAGCUGAAGCCCUCCACAACCUCGCCAUCUGGUCGUCUUCCCCGCCACGGCCACGGCGCCAUCACCGUCGAUCUCCACCACCGGCGCCUCCCCGCGGUUCCGAGCACAUCCACGACCUCCAUCACAACCCCGAGACCGAUGCUGCCCCUGUGAUCGACUACGUCGACGACGACCCCUCCUUGCCAGAGCAACCAGCGAUGCGUGUCUCCAUACCCGGGCAUACCUUCUUCAAUUUUAGUGGAACUGCACAAAAUUGGAUGGCCAUUGUUGUUCCACCUCACUGUCCUCUGCCACGUGGUUCUUCCUUCCUCGAGCUUGAUUACUGA